UACGGGGGGGGCAAGCGUUGUUCGGAAUUACUGGGCGUAAAGGGCUCGUAGGUGGCCAACUAAGUCAGACGUGAAAUCCCUCGGCUUAACCGGGGAACUGCGUCUGAUACUGGAUGGCUUGAGUUCGGGAGAGGGAUGCGGAAUUCCAGGUGUAGCGGUGAAAUGCGUAGAUAUCGGGAAGAACACCCGUGGCGAAGGCGGCUCUCUGGGACGGUACUGACGCUGAGACGCGAAAAGCGUGGGGGAGCGAACAGGG
rnacentral:rRNA from 1 species